CAGUAGCCGCGGUAAUACGAAGGGUGCAAGCGUUACUCGGAAUUACUGGGCGUAAAGCGUGCGUAGGUGGUGGUUUAAGUCCGUUGUGAAAGCCCUGGGCUCAACCUGGGAAUUGCAGUGGAUACUGGGUCACUAGAGUGUGGUAGAGGAUAGUGGAAUUUCCGGUGUAGCAGUGAAAUGCGUAGAAAUCGGAAGGAACAUCUGUGGCGAAGGCGACUAUCUGGGACAACACUGACGCUGAGGCACGAAAGCGUGGGGAGCAAACAGGAUUAGAUACCCCUGUAGUCCCUGUCUCUUAUAC
rnacentral:rRNA from 1 species